GCUGGUUUGGCUCAGUGGAUAGAGCAUCAGCCUGAGGACUGAAGGGUCCUGGGUUCGAUUCCUGGAGAGGGCA
rnacentral:tRNA from 1 species